rnacentral:rRNA from 1 species
GACGAACGCUGGCGGCGUGCUUAACACAUGCAAGUCGAACGGAAAGGCCCUGCUUGCAGGGUGCUCGAGUGGCGAACGGGUGAGUAACACGUGGGUGAUCUGCCCCUUAUUUUGGGAUAAGCCUGGGAAACUGGGUCUAAUACUGGAUAGGACCAUGCUGUAGGUGGUGUGGUGGAAAGAUUAGUUUCGGUAAGGGAUGAGCUCGCGGCCUAUCAGCUUGUUGGUGGGGUAAUGGCCUACCAAGGCGUCGACGGGUAGCCGGCCUGAGAGGGUGGACGGCCACAUUGGGACUGAGAUACGGCCCAGACUCCUACGGGAGGCAGCAGUGGGGAUUAUUGCACAAUGGGCGCAAGCCUGAUGCAGCGACGCCGCGUGGGGGAUGACGGCCUUCGGGUUGUAAACUCCUUUCAGCCAUGACGAAGCCCUUGUGGUGACGGUAGUGGUAGAAGAAGCACCGGCUAACUACGUG